GAUGAACGCUGGCGGCGUGCCUAAUACAUGCCAGUCGAGCGAACGGACGAGAAGCUUGCUUCUCUGAUGUUAGCGGCGGACGGGUGAGUAACACGUGGAUAACCUACCUAUAAGACUGGGAUAACUUCGGGAAACCGGAGCUAAUAGCGUAUGAUAUUUUGAACCGCAUUGUGCAAAAGUGAAAGACGGUCUUGCGGUCACUUAUAGAUGGAUCCGCGCUGGAUGAGCUAGUUGGUAAGUUAACGGGUUACCAAGGCAACGAUGCAUAGACGAACUGAGAGGGUGAUCGGCCACACUGGAUCUGAGACACGGUCCAGACUCCUACGGGAGGCAGCAGUAGGGAAUCUUCCGCAAUGGGCGAAAGCAUGACGGAGCAACGCCGCGUGAGUAAUGAAGGUCUUCGGAUCGUAAAACUCUGUUAUUAGGGAAGAACAUAUGUGUAAGUAACUGUGCACAUCUUGACGGUACCUAAUCAGAAAGCCACGGCUAACUACGUG
rnacentral:rRNA from 1 species